rnacentral:lncRNA from 1 species
UCAAUAACUUUAAUAAGCUCAACCUUAUAUGAAGGAGGCAUUUCAUCUCAUUUCGUAUAGCUGAGCGAACACAACUGACCCUUCCGCACAACCGAUCUUAAAAAAAUUGAUAAAAUGCUUGCAACCCUCUUGAUAGGCUGCCCCAGUUCAUUGCAAUGUACCACGAUCUUCUCAUCCUCGCGUAGGCUCCACAUGUCCAAUGCUCAAGUGGGUCCUCGUGUCCUCCUCACUCUCCCCAGUCCAUCUAUAAAAAUAAAUAAAUAUCCAUUCAUUAAUUAAAAUAUUAAAGGCAAAUGAUUUAAUAUAAUUAGAUUGUAAGAAAAGUUAAUAUAUAAAAUGUAAAUCAAAUUAUCCUGGAUGUGCACGUCAUCCAUGUAUGGAUAAUCAGCAGGUGGAACGUGCUCAGACUGAGACUCGUGCUGAGUAUGGGACUCAUGCUGAGAACAGGACUCGUGCUGCUGGGGCUCGUCAGGCUGCUGGGACCGCAGGGACUGAUUGGAAGAAGAUCCCACGGACGUGUACUAAAACUCAACAUCUCUGAAUCAUUUUUCUCGCAGCAUGUUGUUACCUAAUAUGCACAAAAAGAAGCAAUAUUAGUUAAAUAAUAAAUAAAAUCUAUAUGAAUUGAUAAUUAAUUCAAUGUGACCAGCUGAGCAAUUGAAAUUGACCUUGUCAACAAUUAUCUUGCAAAGAGAUCGCAGCAAUCCUAUAAUCACA